rnacentral:rRNA from 1 species
UACGAAGGGUGCAAGCGUUACUCGGAAUUACUGGGCGUAAAGCGUGCGUAGGUGGUUUGUUAAGUCUGCUGUGAAAGCCCCGGGCUCAACCUGGGAAUGGCAGUGGAUACUGGCAAGCUAGAGUGCGGUAGAGGGGUGUGGAAUUCCCGGUGUAGCGGUGAAAUGCGUAGAGAUCGGGAGGAACACCAGUGGCGAAGGCGGCUACCUGGACCAGCACUGACACUGAGGCACGAAAGCGUGGGGAGCAAACAGG